ACAGGAUUUAGAGACAGUUGUGAGCUGCCAUGUGGGUGCUGGGACUUGAACCCAGAUCCCUUGGGAGAGCAGCCAGUGCUCUUAACCACAGAACCAUUUCUCCAGCCCCUAUUUAAACACUAAAUUUUAAAAAAAUAAUAAUAAUUUUUAAAACAUAUUUUUAACGUAGGAGUGCUCUGUCUGCAGGUACACAUGCAUGCCAGAAAAUGGCAUCAGAUCCCAUUGUAGAUGGUUAGAAGACACCUUGUGAGUGCAAGGAACUGACCUGGGGACCUCUGGGAGAGCUAUUUGAUUAUUUUUGGUGUUUAAUUUUUGAAGUUCAUUAUGUGGGCUCUCUCUUCACUCUGGUGGAUAGUCUCCUUUGCCGGGCAGAAGUUUUUAAAUUUUGUGUAAAAUUUCCUUUGUAAACAUUUGGGAUUGUUUUGUGUGCUCUUAGAGUUCUUUCCAAGAAAUCCUAGCCUAACUCUGUAUCUUGAAGUAUUUUUCUCUUUUUCCUGUAUAUUAAUCAAAGCUAUUGCUCUGUAGUUUCCUUUUCUGGUUUGGUGUAAGAAUAAUACUGACCUCAUACAAUGAGUUUGGUGAUGUGUACUCCCUUCCUAUUGUGUGAAAUGCUUUGAGUAAUAUUGGUUUUAACUCAUCCUUAGGUAUUUGGCAGAGCUCAGCAGUGAAACCACCAUUUUUCCUUGGUGGGGAGAUUUUUUUGUAGCAAGGGAGGGGACUGAGACAGGUCCUCAAGUAGCACAAUCCAUCCUCAGACUCACUUUGUAGCUGAGGAUGAUUCUGAAGUCCUGAACCAGCUUCCUACACUUCUCGGGGGCUGAUUAUAGACAAAAGUCACCAUGUGCAGCUACGAGAAAGCAUUUUUUAAAAUAUGGCUCUCAUAUUAACAUAUUAUUUUGAUGUUAUUUAUUUUGUUAGCCUAGCAGGCUUCCUCAUGGAAUUUUUAGACCCACACCUCUGAAGUUUAGGUUGACUCUUUCUCUACCCAUCCUCAGCAUCCUCCUCCUGAUAAGCACUUACCCCUCAGUGCGCCUCCCUCUCUUUCUUCUCAUGUGUUCCCACUCUCCUGCUUACCAUUCUCCCUCCAAGCUUCCUCUUGUUCCUUCUGCAGCUCCCUUUCCAGUUUCACAGCACACUCACAGACUCAUUUUCUUCACCGCUCAGUAGCAUUCCAUUGUGUACAGAUCCACAUGUCCAUCUCUUAAUGGUGUUGGCUGCAUUCUCUUGCUAUUGUGGCUAGAACAGCAACGGACACAGAUGAGCAAGUAUCUCUCUAGUACAACAUAGAGCCCUUUGGGUGGCAUAGUGGGAUCAUGUGGGUCCUUUUUCACUUUUUAAGAAACCACCACUCAGUGAUAGCUCUACCAGUUCCACGUCUAGCAAGAUUAUAUGAGCUCUUCUUCCACUCCCUCUUCAAAAUAUUUUGUCCUUCAUUAUUUUUAUGGGAGCCAGUCAGACCAGAUAAGAUAGCUCACAGAAUAGUUUUCAUCUGCAGUUUAUCAAUGACUAAGAGUGCUGGACACAUUUAAAAAUAUUUGUUAACUAUUUUUAUUUAUUUUGAGAACUCUUGCUCCAGCACUGUAGUGGUUUUUUUUUUGUUUGUUUUUUUUUUUUUAAAUUGGGUUACUUGUUUGUUACUGCUUGGGUUUUGUUUUUACUUCUUAGUAAAUGCCAGGUAUUUCUCCUUUGUUAAAUAAACAUAUAGCUGGCAAAGGCCUCUUGCAUUCUGUAUGUCGCCAUUGUAUUCAGUUAACUUUCCUUUACUAUGUAGAUGUUUUUAAUUUCAUGAAGUCCUUUUUGUUGAUACUUGGUCUUAUUUUGAAGAACUGAGUGAGUAUUCAGAAAGUCCUUCUCAAUGUCUACAUCUUGAAGUCUUUUCUCUCCUUUUUUUUCCUCUAGCAUUUUCAGGGUUGUGGGUACUCUAUUGGUCCACUUGGAGUUGGGUUUUGUUUAAAGUGGGAGGGGACUUAUCUUUAUUCUUUAUUCUUUACCUGUGGAUAUCCAGUUUUUCAUCAUUAUUUGUAGAAGAAGCUGUCUUUUCUCCAAUGAGUACAUAUUCUUCUUUCU
rnacentral:lncRNA from 1 species